rnacentral:rRNA from 1 species
GACGAACGCUGGCGGCGUGCUUAACACAUGCAAGUCAAACGAAGAGCGAUGGAAGCUUGCUUCUAUCAAUCUUAGUGGCGAACGGGUGAGUAACGCGUAAUCAACCUGCCCUUCAGAGGGGGACAACAGUUGGAAACGACUGCUAAUACCGCAUACGAUCUAAUCUCGGCAUCGAGGAUAGAUGAAAGGUGGCCUCUACAUGUAAGCUAUCACUGAAGGAGGGGAUUGCGUCUGAUUAGCUAGUUGGAGGGGUAACGGCCCACCAAGGCGAUGAUCAGUAGCCGGUCUGAGAGGAUGAACGGCCACAUUGGGACUGAGACACGGCCCAGACUCCUACGGGAGGCAGCAGUGGGGAAUCUUCCGCAAUGGACGAAAGUCUGACGGAGCAACGCCGCGUGAGUGAUGACGGCCUUCGGGUUGUAAAGCUCUGUUAAUCGGGACGAAAGGCCUUCUUGCGAAUAGUGAGAAGGAUUGACGGUACCGGAAUAGAAAGCCACGGCUAACUACGUG